GAGAAAUCAAAUAAAUAAAUAACCUCCGCACCAAUAAGAGAGGCAGCGGCUGCCGAGAAGGCUGGGAUCGGAUGGGGGAGGUCCUUCUUGGGCUCUAUUUGUUUGUUUGUGACUGGAGCUGCAAAGUUCAGAGCCAAACGUGUUGCUUUCCGGCGGCGGCGACCGCCCCGCUUCACCUGCUCCGCUGACGGGUGCCUGCCCGGGCGGCCCCGCUGCUCUGCGGGCGCUCCGCCCGGCAUCCUGCGUGCCGUGGGGCCGACGGACGGCACAGGAGCGCGGGGCUCGUCUCUGCCCGCCCGCCUUCCCCUCCGCGCCUGCCGGAGCCCACGGACAGGUGUAGCUACAGAAAGAUAGAAAAUUCAUCACAGGAAUAGAACACCCUCUGGAUUUUCUUCUGAUGUACAGACUACAUUGAUUGAAGUAUUGAAUCCUUUUGCAACACCACCUUCCUGUAAGUAG
rnacentral:lncRNA from 12 species